rnacentral:rRNA from 1 species
AACAGGAUUAGAUACCCUGGUAGUCCAUGCCGUAAACGUUGGGCACUAGGUGUGGGGGACAUUCCACGUUUUCCGCGCCGUAGCUAACGCAUUAAGUGCCCCGCCUGGGGAGUACGGCCGCAAGGCUAAAACUCAAAGGAAUUGACGGGGGCCCGCACAAGCGGCGGAGCAUGCGGAUUAAUUCGAUGCAACGCGAAGAACCUUACCAAGGCUUGACAUGGACCGGACCGCUGCAGAGAUGUAGCUUCCCUUCGGGGCUGGUUCACAGGUGGUGCAUGGUUGUCGUCAGCUCGUGUCGUGAGAUGUUGGGUUAAGUCCCGCAACGAGCGCAACCCUUGUCCUAUGUUGCCAGCACGUAAAGGUGGGGACUCAUGGGAGACUGCCGGGGUCAACUCGGAGGAAGGUGGGGAUGAUGUCAAAUCAUCAUGCCCCUUAUGUCUUGGGCUUCACGCAUGCUACAAUGGCCGGUACAGUGGGUUGCGAUACUGUGAGGUGGAGCUAAUCCCUAAAAGCCGGUCUCAGUUCGGAUCGAAGUCUGCAACUCGACUUCGUGAAGUUGGAGUCGCUAGUAAUCGCAGAUCAGCAACGCUGCGGUGAAUACGUUCCCGGGCCUUGUACACACCGCCCGUCAAGUCACGAAAGUUGGUAACACCCGAAGCCCAUGGCCCAACCCUUGUGGAGGGAAUGGUCGAAGGUGGGACUAGCGAUUGGGACUAAGUCGUAACAAGGUAACC